rnacentral:rRNA from 1 species
UACGGGGGGGGCAAGCGUUGUUCGGAAUUACUGGGCGUAAAGGGAGCGUAGGCGGUUGGAUAAGCCCUCCGUGAAAUCUCCAGGCUUAACCUGGAAAGUGCAGAGGGGACUGUUCAGCUAGAGGAUGGGAGAGGAGCGCGGAAUUCCCGGUGUAGCGGUGAAAUGCGUAGAGAUCGGGAGGAAGGCCGGUGGCGAAGGCGGCGCUCUGGAACAUUUCUGACGCUGAGGCUCGAAAGCGUGGGGAGCAAACAGG